rnacentral:rRNA from 1 species
AUAGCGUAUAUUAAAGUUGUUGCAGUUAAAAAGCUCGUAGUUGAACUUCAGCCCUGGCCGGGCGGUCUGCCUCACGGUAUGUACUGUUUGGCUGGGGCUUACCUUCUGGUGAGCUCGCAUGCCGUUUAUUCGGUGUGUGAGGGAACCAGGACUUUUACCUUGAGAAAAUUAGAGUGCUCAAAGCAGGCUUAUGCUCGAAUACAUUAGCAUGGAAUAAUAAAAUAGGACGUGCGGUUCUAUUUUGUUGGUUUCUAGAGUCGCCGUAAUGAUUAAUAGGGAUAGUUGGGGGCAUUAGUAUUCAGUUGCUAGAGGUGAAAUUCUUGGAUUUACUGAAGACUAACUACUG